AAGUUGAUUGGGAAACUCAUCAAAUUUUUAUGAAAUGCCGAGACAACCUCUCUUACUGAUGGCGGGCCCCAACCCCUCGGGGUGCAGCUGAUUCCUUUCGGAACCCUGCCAGGCGGAUUACAAAGGUACCUGAGGCCUCAAAACCUGUCUUUCGGAGUUUCAUCGCAUCCUUUGGUGUGGCAUCCU
rnacentral:sRNA from 1 species